rnacentral:rRNA from 1 species
UCCAGACUCCUACGGGAGGCAGCAGUCGGGAAUAUUGCGCAAUGGAGGAAACUCUGACGCAGUGACGCCGCGUAUAGGAAGAAGGUUUUCGGAUUGUAAACUAUUGUCGUGAGGGAAGAAAUUGACAGUACCUCAGGAGGAAGCUCCGGCUAACUACGUGCCAGCAGCCGCGGUAAUACGUAGGGGGCAAGCGUUAUCCGGAAUUACUGGGUGUAAGGGGAGCGUAGACGGUGAUGUAAGUCUGGAGUGAAAGGCGGGGGCCCAACCCCCGGACUGCUCUGGAAACUAUGUGACUGGAGUGCAGGAGAGGUGAGCGGAAUUCCUAGUGUAGCGGUGAAAUGCGUAGAUAUUAGGAGGAACACCAGUGGCGAAGGCGGCUCACUGGACUGUAACUGACGUUGAGGCUCGAAAGCGUGGGGAGCAAACAGGAUUAGAUACCCCAGUA